rnacentral:misc_RNA from 1 species
UCUUCUGAUUAUCUGGCGAUCUUUUUGGUCCAGACACCAAUACGACAUUACUAGACUCACAUGAAGAUGAGGAAGGAACUGCAGUUUGGGUUUUUUCCUUAGUUGAUGCUGUUCCUAGUGGUUUGAUCUCAUGAUAGUUUGAUGGUUGUGCAUUCUUAGUUUCCUGGAGGCUUGAAGUUGUCAACUGUAGAGCCUGUGCAGCUACCAACCUAGGAGACGAAAUGGCACCUUG